rnacentral:rRNA from 1 species
GAUGAACGCUAGCGGGAGGCCUAACACAUGCAAGCCGAGCGGUAUUGUUUCUUCGGAAAUGAGAGAGCGGCGUACGGGUGCGGAACACGUGUGCAACCUGCCUUUAUCUGGGGGAUAACCUUUCGAAAGGAAGAUUAAUACUCCAUAACAUAUUGAUUGGCAUCAAUUAAUAUUGAAAGCUCCGGCGGAUAGAGAUGGGCACGCGCAAGAUUAGCUAGUUGGUGAGGUAACGGCUCACCAAGGCGAUGAUCUUUAGGGGGCCUGAGAGGGUGAUCCCCCACACUGGUACUGAGACACGGACCAGACUCCUACGGGAGGCAGCAGUGAGGAAUAUUGGUCAAUGGGUGCAAGCCUGAACCAGUCAUCCCGCGUGAAGGACGACUGCCCUAUGGGUUGUAAACUUCUUUUGUAUAGGGAUAAACCUACCCUCGUGAGGGUAGCUGAAGGUACUAUACGAAUAAGCACCGGCUAACUCCGUGCCAGCCGCCGCAAUAAGAC